GCUUUAAUAGUUAAAAAUUAAAAUAAUGAUCUUGUAAAUCAUAGUUAGGUUAUAUACCUUUAAAGCA
rnacentral:tRNA from 1 species